UUAUUUAAUUAAUUUGAGGGGGAAAAAUUAAUAAAAUAAAAAAUAAUAAAAAAAAUUUUAAUAUUAAAAUAUAUUUAAUGGGGGUUAAAGUAUUUUUAAUAGAAAAAAUUUUAAAAUUUAUAGUUAAUUAGUAUUGUAAAAGAAUUUUGAAAUAAUUGAAAAAUAAUUUUUUAAAAAGUAAAUUUAAUUUAUUGUAUCUUGUGUAUCAAUGUUUAUUAAUAAAUUUUUAAAGUUUUAAAUUUCUCGAAUUUGAAAGAGUUAAUUGAUUAAUAGAGUUAUUGUAGUAUAAAUAUUCUUAAUAGUUAAUUAGAAAUGAAAUGCUAAUCGUUUUUAAAUAUAUCUAGUUUUUUUAGAAAAAAAUUUAAUUUUUUAUUUAAUUAAAAAUUUAAAUAAAUGAUUAUUUAAAUUUUUAAUUAAAUAAAAUAAUUUAAGGGAUAAGCUUUAAAUUAGAAUUUUAUAAUUAAUUAAUAAUUUAUUUAAAAAUUUUAUAAUUUAUAUUGUUAAUAAAUUUUAUUUUAUUAUAAAUAAUUUUAAAUAAAUAAAAAUUUAAUUUUAAUUUAAUUUUUUAUAAAAAAAAUUUAAUAUAGUAAAAAAUUUAAAGAAAUUAUGAUAAAAUUAGUAAAAUAAAAUUAAUUUUUAAAAGUUAUUUUUAAAAAUUAUUAUUAAGGAAUUCGGCAAAAAUUUAUAUUCACUUGUUUAUCAAAAACAUGCCUUUUUGUUAAUAAUUUAAAGUCUAAUCUGCCCACUGAUGUAAUAUUGAAGGGCUGCAGUAUUUUGACUGUACAAAGGUAGCAUAAUCAUUAGUCUCUUAAUUGGUGACUUGUAUGAAGGAUUGGAUGAGAUAUAAGCUGUCUUGAUAAUAUUUAAUUGAAUUUAAUUUUUUAUUUAAAAAGUUAAAAUAAUUUAAAAAGACGAGAAGACCCUAUAGAGUUUUAUAUUAAAUUAAAUUAAAAUUAUUUAUAUAAUUAUUAAUAUAGAUUUAAUUUUAGUAUUUUGUUGGGGUGACAAAAAAAUAAAUAAAACUUUUUUUAUUAUUUACAUAAAUAAAUGAAUUUUUGAUCCAAUUUUAUUGAUUAAAAGAAAAAAUUACCUUAGGGAUAACAGCGUAAUUUUUUUUUUUAGUUCUUAUAAGAAAAAAAGUUUGCGACCUCGAUGUUGGAUUAAGAUAAAAUUUAAAUGCAAAAGUUUAAAAUUUUUGAUCUGUUCGAUCAUUAAAAUCUUACAUGAUCUGAGUUCAAACCGGUGUAAGCCAGGUUGGUUUCUAUCUUUUAAAAAUUUUAAUAUUUUAGUACGAAAGGAUUGAAUAUUAUAAUUAAAUUAAAAUAUUAAGAAUUUUAUUAAUUUUUUUUUAUUCAAGUAAAAAAUUAAAAUGGAAA
rnacentral:rRNA from 1 species